GGAAAAUAAUAAUUUGGUUGCAGCAAUACAAAUAUUCUGUGAUAUUUCAUCAAACUGUAACAUAUUCUGCUCAAAUAAUAAACAUAAUCAUAUGCAACUAGACAACAAUAAGAAAAAAUGAAAUCUGGGCGAACAGGCACUAGAGCGAUAGGACCCAGAUUCCUCUCCACCAGCCAAAAAGAGUGAAAACUAAUCAUCAGAUGUACCAACCCCUCCAACAGAGCCAAAGUAAAAGCCAUGUGCAUAAUAUUAUAGGUUUGUGUGCAGGAAUUUAAAUCACCAUCACCAAUUCUGUCUGUCAAACACCUGCAUGUACACCUUCAUCACUGGCAACACCACAAACUUCUCAGUCACCCAUUCUGACAACAUGUUCCUUUUCAAAAUGACAAGCCGCUUAAAAGUAGCUGAUUGAAAACAGCCUACAUGUACUUGCAGCCAUAAUAUGUAACAUACCGGUAUCUAAUGUUUAAGUUAAUAAUGAGAGGUUACUACAUGUACAUGUAGCUGAAGAUGUUUCCAAGC
rnacentral:lncRNA from 1 species